rnacentral:lncRNA from 1 species
CGGCGGCGUGGGCACGUGCGAGCGAGGGCGAACAGAGGGGGAGAAGAGAGAGGGGGCUCCGGGCUUUAUAGAGGCGUGCUCGGGUUGCUUCGGGAAGGCCGGGAUCACCGGACUCCGGAGAUGGCGGCGCGGCGCGGGCUGCUUUCCAUCCUGGAAGAUGGACCUAACAGGUGGGCCCCACUUGUCAGUGUCUCAACAUACGCGCGCGGACUGGGCUGGCUCGGUUCAGCUCAGGCGCGGUUGGGACGGGGCUGGUUCGGCCCAAAACGGCCGGGCCGGUCCGUUUCUUCCUUUUUUUUUUCUUUUUUCCUUUUUCUCAUUUCUUUGAUAUCUUUUGAUUUUGAACUCCAAAUUGAUCCAAAUAAAUUCCAGAAAAUUUGUAAAAUCAUGUUUUAUCAUGAUUCAACUUUUGGGGGUAAUUUCCCCUCAAAAUAAAAUAUCUAAAAAUACAUUUCCCUAUAAAUGCCUUUAGGGCUACAUAACUAUUUAAAUAAAAUAGUUUUUCAACUCCAAAUAAUUAUCCAAAAAUUAUGGGAUUGCCUAAUUAUGCAAUAAACCCCUUUUGU